GACGAACGCUGGCGGCGUGCCUAAUACAUGCAAGUCGAGCGAAUCAAUAGGAGCUUGCUCCUGUUGGUUAGCGGCGGACGGGUGAGUAACACGUGGGCAACCUGCCUGUAAGACUGGGAUAACACCGGGAAACCGGUGCUAAUACCGGAUAAUCCUUUUCCUCUCAUGAGGAAAAGCUGAAAGUCGGUUCCGGCUGACACUUACAGAUGGGCCCGCGGCGCAUUAGCUAGCUGGUGAGGUAACGGCUCACCAAGGCGACGAUGCGUAGCCGACCUGAGAGGGUGAUCGGCCACACUGGGACUGAGACACGGCCCAGACUCCUACGGGAGGCAGCAGUAGGGAAUCUUCCACAAUGGACGAAAGUCUGAUGGAGCAACGCCGCGUGAGCGAUGAAGGCCUUCGGGUCGUAAAGCUCUGUUGUUAGGGAAGAACAAGUACCGGAGUAACUGCCGGUACCUUGACGGUACCUAACCAGAAAGCCACGGCUAACUACGUGCCAGCCGCCGCCGUAAUAC
rnacentral:rRNA from 1 species